GACGAACGCUGGCGGCGUGCUUAACACAUGCAAGUCGAACGGAAAGGCCCUGCUUUUGUGGGGUGCUCGAGUGGCGAACGGGUGAGUAACACGUGAGUAAACUGCCCUUGACUUUGGGAUAACUUUAGGAAACAGGGGCUAAUACCGGAUAGGAGCUCCUGCUGCAUGGUGGGGGUUGGAAAGUUUCGGCGGUUGGGGAUGGACUCGCAGCUUAUCAGCUUGUUGGUGAGGUAGUGGCUUACCAAGGCUUUGACGGGUAGCCGGCCUGAGAGGGUGACCGGCCACAAUGGGACUGAGAUACGGCCCAGACUCCUACGGGAGGCAGCAGUGGGGAAUAUUGCACAAUGGGCGGAAGCCUGAUACAGCGACGCCGCGUGCGUGAUGACGGCCUACGGGUUGUAAACCGCUUUCGCCGGUGACGAAGCGUGAGUGACGGUACUGGGUAAAGAAGCACCGGCUAACUACGUG
rnacentral:rRNA from 1 species